CAAUAGCGUAUAUUUAAGUUGCUGCAGUUAAAAAGCUCGUAGUUGGAUUUCGGGUGGGAAUGGCCGGUCCGCCGUUUCGGUGUGCACUUGCUACGCCCACCUUGCUGCCGGGGACGUGCUCUUGAGUUCUCGCUCGGGACACGGAGUCGGCGAGGUUACUUUGAGUAAAUUAGAGUGUUCAAAGCAGGCCUACGCUCUGAAUACAUUAGCAUGGAAUAACACGAUAGGACUCUGGCCUAUCUUGUUGGUCUGUAGGACCGGAGUAAUGAUUAAGAGGGACAGUCGGGGGCAUUCGUAUUUCAUUGUCAGAGGUGAAAUUCUUGGAUUUAUGAAAGACGAACUACUGCGAAAGCAUUUGCCAAGGAUGUUUUCAUUAA
rnacentral:rRNA from 1 species